CCCCUGUUGAGGUUAUCGGUAAAUUUCGAUGCCCCCCCCCUCGAAGUUUUUAAAAUUUUCAAUGCCCCCCCCCUCCUCCCUAGAAUUCGGAAUCGAAGGAGUACAAUCCGGAAUUCUCUCUUAUCAUAGAUACAAUUUGCAGUUCCUCAAGAUGUCUGAUAUACUCAAGUGCUACUCAGUUCUUCUUCUUAACAAAACUACCGAUCUGCUGCUUCUUUCAUCUCACUAGCGCCAGAUGAAAUGGCACCGUCUUUAAAACAUUUUAAAUUGGCUCUAGGGGUGGAAUUAUCAACAAGUCGUUGUUGCCCAUCAUUGAGCGCAUUCGGAGUCUUGAACACAUUCAUGUAGUGGCCAGGAUUUCCUGGAUCAGGGUAAUGUGCUGGAACCUUACAGUAUGUUGCCCCCACCCAACGUAUCUCCCGGCAUCUGUUGCAAAUGUCUUUGCAUGCCUGUCAAAAAUGCAUGCAAAAGUGCCAGUAUGCUUCAAUUUCUUUAAUUUCCAUCCCGUUUGUACAAAAUAUCCCAUAAACAUAGAACAUAUCAUUCUUACAAAUUGUAUAUGCUUUUUUGCUUUUUGGCGCGUAAAUUACUUCACAAACCUGGCGCAAAAAAAAUUAAAAUAAGCUAUAGGUGAUUUCAUGUAUCCAUUUAGAAGAGCAGACUAAGGAUAUCUUGGACGUAGUAAAGCAUCUGACGUAGCAGGGACGUAGCAAAGCAUCUGACGUUUGGGGUGGGGGGGGGAUGUCAGAGGAUUAUACGUGUAAUAAUUAUAAUAAAGCUUUUUGUGAUUGAUUGGCACUCUUAUACUAAGUUUUGGGAGAAAAGGGGGGUCAGAAAAUUUUUACAUUUUCGAAGCUCUAGGACUGAAUUUCUGGCGUUUUCUAAAGCAAAUUUCGCAAACAAAUUGCAUGUAAAUUGACUGUAUUUUACAAAAAUGGUUAUCAUUUCACAAAAAUAAUUA